AUGACUUGUGGAUAGCGGUGAAAUUCCAAUCGAGCCCGGAGAUAGCUGGUUCUCCCCGAAAUAGCUUUAGGGCUAGCCUCAAGCGUAGAGAAACGGAGGUAGAGCACUGAAUGUCCUAGGGGGUAUUGCACUUACCGAAGACUAUCAAACUCCGAAUGCCGUUUUCUUUUACUUGGGAGUCAGACUGUGGGUGAUAAGAUUCAUAGUCAAAAGGGCAACAGCCCAGAUCGUCAGCUAAGGUCCCUAAAUGUACGUUAAGUGGUAAAGGAUGUGGGAUUGCACAGACAACCAGGAUGUUGGCUUAGAAGCAGCCACUCAUUUAAAGAGUGCGUAAUAGCUCACUGGUCGAGUGAUCCUGCGCCGAAAAUUUCCGGGGCUAAAACGUACUACCGAAGCUACGGCAUCAUUUAUGAUGGGUAGGGGAGCUUCGUAUGCAGGCUGAAGCAUGACCGUAAGGACAUGUGGACAGUAUACGAGUGAGAAUGUUGGCAUGAGUAGCGAGACGUGGGUGAGAAUCCCACGGGCCGUAAACCCAAGGUUUCCAGGGGAAGGUUCGUCCGCCCUGGGUUAGUCGGGACCUAAGCCGAGGCCGAAAGGCGUAGGUGAUGGACAACAGGUUGAUAUUCCUGUACCGCCAAUAAGCGUUUGAGAGAUGGAGUGACACAGUAGGAUAAGCUAACCGUACUGUUGGUUAUGUACGGCUAAGCAUUGAGGCAGUCUAAAUAGGCAAAUCCGUUUAGACAAUGCUAGGAUGUGAUGGGGAAGCCCUUCGGGGCGAAGUAGCUGAUUUCACACUGUCAAGAAAAGCUUCUAUCGAGUUUAAAGGCGCCCGUACCGUAAACCGACACAGGUGGGUGAGGAGAGUAUCCUAAGGCCAGCGAGAGAACUAUUGUUAAGGAACUCGGCAAAAUGACCCCGUAACUUAGGGAGAAGGGGUGCCUGUCUAUGACAGGCCGCAGAGAAUAGGCCCAAGCGACUGUUUACCAAAAACACAGGUUUCUGCUAAGUCGCAAGACGAUGUAUAGGAGCUGACGCCUGCCCGGUGCUGGAAGGUUAAGGGGAUCUGUUAGAGCAAUCGAAGCAGUGAACUUAAGCCCCAGUAAACGGCGGCCGUAACUAUAACGGUCCUAAGGUAGCGAAAUUCCUUGUCGGGUAAGUUCCGACCCGCACGAAAGGCGUAACGAUUUGGGCACUGUCUCAACAAUAGACUCGGUGAAAUUGUAAUCCCGGUGAAGAUGCCGGGUACCUGCGACAGGACGGAAAGACCCCAUGGAGCUUUACUGUAGCUUGACGUUGGGUCUUGGUACUACAUGUACAGGAUAGGUGGGAGACUAUGAAGCAUGGACGCCAGUCUGUGUGGAGUCAUCCUUGGGAUACCACCCUUGUAGUACUGGGAUCCUAACCAUAGGCCUUGAAUCAGGUCUUGGAACACCGUCAGGUGGGCAGUUUGACUGGGGCGGUCGCCUCCUAAAAAGUAACGGAGGCGCUCAAAGGUUUCCUCAGCACGGUCGGAAAUCGUGCGAAGAGUGUAAAGGCAAAAGGAAGCUUGAUUGCAAGACAUACAGGUCGAGCAAGGACGAAAGUCGGACUUAGUGAUCCGGUGGUACCGCAUGGAAGGGCCAUCGCUCAACGGAUAAAAGCUACCCUGGGGAUAACAGGCUUAUCUCCCCCAAGAGUCCACAUCGACGGGGAGGUUUGGCACCUCGAUGUCGGCUCAUCACAUCCUGGGGCUGUAUUCGGUCCCAAGGGUUCGGCUGUUCGCCGAUUAAAGUGGUACGCGAGCUGGGUUCAGAACGUCGUGAGACAGUUCGGUCCCUAUCCGUCGCAGGCGUAGGAAAUUUGAGAAGACCUGUCCUUAGUACGAGAGGACCGGGAUGGACGUACCUCUGGUGUACCAGUUGUUCUGCCAAGGGCAUGGCUGGGUAGCUAUGUACGGAAUGGAUAAGCGCUGAAAGCAUCUAAGCGCGAAGCCAACUUCAAGAUAAGAUUUCCCACCGUAAGGGUAAGACCCCAGGAAGACUACCUGGUUGA
rnacentral:rRNA from 1 species